UCUCUCUCUCUCUCUCUCUCUCUGUCUGUGGAAGCUAGCGAGUUUUGAUCUACAAUGGCCAGGAAGAGCUUCGUCACCUUGAUUCUUUUCGCUCUUUUUGCCUGUUCCGCUUUAGCUCAGGCCCCUGGAGCCGCGCCCACCGCUUCACCGACGAAGUCACCUUCUGCUGCACCGGCUCCCAAGACUGCAGCUCCAACUGCUGCUCCCACUCAUCCUCCGACUCAAACACCACCUGCAUCGGCUCCUGCUCCUCCCACUACGAAUGUCCCAGUGGCAGCCCCAACAUUGACUCCUACCAGCUCGCCUCCUGCUCCUUCUGCUCCGACUCCCAGCUCAGGUCCAUCAGUGGCUGUUCCUCCGAAUGCAUUGACUCCUUCUGCUGAUACUCCGUCAGGGAAUCCUUCCAACGGUGCUG
rnacentral:misc_RNA from 1 species